UCCGUUGCGCAGUGGCAAUAUCGUAACCAAUGAAGGUCUCCUGAGGUGCGAUCAUUGCUAGUUGAAAACUACCUGCAAAGCUAAGAUGUAUUGUUGGUUUAGUGGGUUCGAUUCCCCGGUCUUAGGCCUUGGAUUUUAUUUGAUGGUUAAUAUGAGAAAUUUACAGUAAAGUAUGUUUGCU
rnacentral:snRNA from 1 species